CUGUGAAUUCAUGACAUUUCCCAGUCAUAAAAAAAUUUGGUUCUGGUUCUGGUUUUGGUUUUUGCAAUUUGAGGAUAGCUGAGUGUAGUUUUAGGCUUUUCUUAUGUACAACAGAACCUGAUUAAAUGAAUUUGAUCUUUCUUCAGCCAGUGUUAUCUUAUAACUCUCUGUACUCUGAUAAUGAAUUCUUUAAUUUUAGAUCAUGACUGUACCAAGUAUUUAAGUCCAAAAUUUGAAAGAGAAGUCUUGAGGUUUCUUCACCCUUUGUCUACAGCAGCAGACCUUAGAUCAUGAACCAUUGGUUGAGGAACACUUGGAGAGCAAUGAGGGUGAUCCUGAGUUACUUGUUUACAUUCUAUUUACAUCAGAUGUCAAGAUCAAGAGCAUUUCAAUUAUUGGUGGUGUUGCUGGAACAAGUAUUUCCAAGAUGAGUGCAUAAGUUUGAACUUUAAUAUUUUCUACCUAAGGCCCGGAUUUCUUAUAUUGGUGUAGUUCGAAUAAAAUAAAUAUCAAAACAGUCUUUGUUAGGUGUUCAAUGUUCACUUCAUUGCAUUUUUUGUAUUUGAAAAUACUAAAAACAAGACUGCAUUGCUUAAAAUAGGUUCAUCAAUCAAGAUGGCAUUGACUUUUCAGGUGUUCAAGGAAUGCAAGCCAUUCAGGUGUUGCUUUCAUAUUAGCUUGUCCCAUAGUUGAAAAAUUCAACGUUUCAGCCUUGAAACACGUCUUCUUGUAGUUUUAAGGAGUUGGAUUUGGUCGAAAAUUUUCAAGGAGUGUUGGAGUACCAGACAAGGUAUUUAUUCACUGCCUUUUGUACUGCUUCAAAAACCAUGUUGUUUAAUUUUCUAGAACAUGAAAACUAUAAAAAUUGAGCACAAUGAAGGAAACCUUAUUUCUUUUUAGUUUUUUUUUACCAUCUGCUGUCCCUCUGAUUCUCCGUAAAUAAAUAAAAAUCUAAGUUUCAGUACAGUUAAGUAAUGAUAUAUAUUGUUAAUUAUUCCAAUUAAAUUUUAAAUGGGGAUUCCUUGCCCAAAGAUAUUCAUUAGGUAUUCAAAGUUUCAACACGUGGCCAGGAUGGCAGCUCUGAACAAGUUGUCGAGUUCUCAAAAGAGAACGCAGGAUGGCUUUGCUCUCUAUACAGAAGAAGAGUUGGAAAUUAAUGAGGCAGAUGCUGGAAGCACACCGCUUUGUCCAUUUGAUUGCUCUUGUUGCUUCUAAGGAUACUUGCGAAUUUGUGACAUUUCCCUGUCUUAAAAUUUGGUUCUGGUCUCGGUUUCUGCAAUUUGAGGAUAGCUGAGUGUAGUUUUUGGCUCUUCUUAUGUACACCAGAACCUGCUUAAUGACUCCUGAUCAUUCUUCAAUCAGUGCCAUCUUAGAAAACGAUGUCCUGUGAUUAUGAAUUCUUAAAUUUUAAAUCAUGACUGUACUAGUAUUUAAAUCCAAAAAUCUGAAAAGAGAAGUCUUGAGGUGGAUUUUGUUGGUUGCAGCUGUACUUUCUUCAUCCCUUUGUCUGCUCCAGACCUUAGUCUGUUAUGAUAAUAUAGAUUAAAGUGAUGCGUUUGAAACCUAGGACUUCAAACUACACAAUGAUGUAAACAACCUUUCUGAUAAUGAACUUAUUGUUGCUUUGCCUGAA